rnacentral:rRNA from 1 species
UACGUAGGGGGCAAGCGUUGUCCGGAUUUACUGGGCGUAAAGGGCGCGUAGGCGGCCAGCGCAAGUCAGUUGUGAAAUCUCCGGGCUUAACUCGGAACGGUCAACUGAUACUGCGCGGCUAGAGUGCAGAAGGGGCAACUGGAAUUCUCGGUGUAGCGGUGAAAUGCGUAGAUAUCGAGAGGAACACCUGCGGCGAAGGCGGGUUGCUGGGCUGACACUGACGCUGAUGUGCGAGAGCGUGGGGAGCGAACCGG